CGGCGGGACACCCCUCCCCACCGAGGGGCAGCUAUCUGAGAGGAUAGGUUGC
rfam:Parvibaculum lavamentivorans DS-1, complete genome.